rnacentral:rRNA from 1 species
CCCGCACAAGCGGUGGAUGAUGUGGAUUAAUUCGAUGCAACGCGAAGAACCUUACCAGGUCUUGACAUCCCGAUGCUAUUUCUAGAGAUAGAAAGUUACUUCGGUACAUCGGUGACAGGUGGUGCAUGGUUGUCGUCAGCUCGUGUCGUGAGAUGUUGGGUUAAGUCCCGCAACGAGCGCAACCCCUAUUGUUAGUUGCCAUCAUUCAGUUGGGCACUCUAGCGAGACUGCCGGUAAUAAACCGGAGGAAGGUGGGAUGACGUCAAAUCAUCAUGCCCCUUAUGACCUGGGCUACACACGUGCUACAAUGGUUGGUACAACGAGUUGCGAGUCGGUGACGGCGAGCUAAUCUCUUAAAGCCAAUCUCAGUUCGGAUUGUAGGCUGCAACUCGCCUACAUGAAGUCGGAAUCGCUAGUAAUCGCGGAUCAGCACGCCGCGGUGAAUACGUUCCCGGGCCUUGU